CCUACGGGGGGCAGCAGUAGGGAAUAUUGCGCAAUGGGGGAAACCCUGACGCAGCAACGCCGCGUGGAGGAUGACACUUUUCGGAGCGUAAACUCCUUUUCUUAGGGAAGAAUUCUGACGGUACCUAAGGAAUAAGCACCGGCUAACUCCGUGCCAGCAGCCGCGGUAAUACGGAGGGUGCAAGCGUUACUCGGAAUCACUGGGCGUAAAGGGCGCGUAGGCGGAUUAUCAAGUCUCUUGUGAAAUCUAAUGGCUUAACCAUUAAACUGCUUGGGAAACUGAUAGUCUAGAGUGAGGGAGAGGCAGAUGGAAUUGGUGGUGUAGGGGUAAAAUCCGUAGAUAUCACCAAGAAUACCCAUUGCGAAGGCGAUCUGCUGGAACUCAACUGACGCUAAGGCGCGAAAGCGUGGGGAGCAAACAGGAU
rnacentral:rRNA from 1 species